CCCGCAUACCUUCUUCUCAUUCCCCGUCACAGAUUUCAUUGUGCCUGGAUACUCUCGGAUCAUCAAUUACCCAAUGGAGGACCGAUUCCAAAGCUUGAAACAGAUCAUUGAAUUCAUGGCAGACCUGGAAAAUGCCAGCAAGCAGAAAGAGAAGGAGGAGCAGCAGGAGGAGGAGAUGGACCAGAAGGAGGACUCUGCGCUCGACCAGUCCAAAAAAGAGCCAGCUGAGCCCAUGGACACUGACGAGGUGAAGACAGCCUCCGCUACAGCAAACAAGGAGACCGGAAGGCAAGACUCCAAAGACUCUGUAUCAAAGAGUAUCAGUGCAGCAGAAAAGGAGCUGGAACAGAUCGAGUUAGUCAUUGAGGAAUCGUGUGGAAAAUUAACCCGGAAAAACAUUGAGAGCCAGGUGCAAGGACUGGACAGAAACACAGAAACUCCUGUAAGAUGGUCAGGAAGGGAUUUCUUGCCAGGUUUGAGAAUAUUGUUCGUGAACAGAAGCUGCUGUAUAGAACUGACUGACUGUUUUAUUUUUCCCUGUGUUUAGUUGGAAUUUGAGAGACGGAAAUCUGAUGGGACACAACUCUGGGAUUCCUGAACACAGCAGACCUGUCAAUGGGAGAACCCGGGUACUGUCCGGUGAAGCUGGGAAUGAUGAUGGACAGGUUACAGACAGACAUCAACACUCUGCAGGGAUUUAAAGAAGACAAGCGCAACAA